rnacentral:sRNA from 2 species
UGCAUCUGAGGCCAGUGAGGAUGAGAACCUCCGGGGGCAGGAGGUUCGACUCGAGCGAAGCGAGAGAACGUUGCGUCAGCAACGGCCCGCAGGGCGAGC